UCCGUAGGUGAACCUGCGGAAGGAUCAUUACCGAGAUGCUCGUGAUAGUGGAGCCCAACCUCCCACCCGUGUUUACUGUAAUGCUAUGCUCGUGAUAGUCGCGCCAUUCAUGGCCGCCGGGGGAUGCUCGCCCCGGGCCCGCGCCAUGCUCGUGAUCCACGAACUCUGUCUGAUCUAGUGAAAUGCUCGUAGUAUGUCGCUGAUACAGUUAAAACUUUCAACAUGCUCGUAGUGGUAGAUGACAUCGAUGAAGAACGCAGCGAAAUGCGAUAACUAGUGUGAAUUGCAGAAUUCCGUGAAUCAUCAUGGCUCGCAACAUGCUCGCUGUCCCCUGGUAUUCCGGGGGGCAUGCCUGUCCGAGCAUGCAUGCUCGCUGAUAGUGACGGCUUGUGUGUUGGGUCGUCGUAUGCUCUCCGGGGGGGACGGGCCCCAAAGGCAGCGGCGGCACCGCGUCCGAUCCUCGAGAUGCUCCGUGAUAGUGACCCGCUCUGUAAUGUCGAUGCUCGCUGUGCGAACGCAAAUCAAUCUUUUUCCAGGUUGACCUCGGAUCAGGUAGGGAUACCCGCUGAAUGCUCGUGCAUAUCAAUAAGCGGAGGAUAGUCGCUGAUGAUGUCGCUCGUAGAUAGGA
rnacentral:rRNA from 1 species